CAAUAGCGAAAACUAAAGUUGUUGCAGUUAAAAAGCUCGUAGUUGGAUCUCAGGUUAGGGGCUGGUGGUCUGCCUUAUGGUAUGACUGCUUGUCUCCGCCUAAUCAGUCGAAUGUUAUUUUGCGUGCUCUUAAUCGAGUGCGUAGAAUACUCGGCACGUUUACUUUGAACAAAUUAGAGUGCUCAAAGCAGGCCUUGUGCUUGAAUAGUUAUGCAUGGAAUAAUGGAAUAGGACUUCGUUUCUAUUUUGUUGGUUUUCGGUUGCGAAGUAAUGAUUAAAAGAGACAGACGGGGGCAUCUGUAUGGCCGCGUGAGAGGUGAAAUUUGAUGAUCGUGGCCAGACAAACUACUGCGAAAGCAUUUGCCAAGGAUGUUUUCAUUA
rnacentral:rRNA from 1 species